AAAAAUCUUGGACUUGAACCUCUCUCAUUUGAGCCCACAGGUCCACAAAAAUCAGGUUAUAAAUUCAGAGUUUCAGUGAAACAAAUGGCAUUCCAUUCCUAUUACCCUGUCUGGGAAAAAGAUAGUGAGAGAAGAACUCUGGGAAAAAGAUAGUGAGAGAAGAACUCUCGGAAAAAGAUAGUGAGAGAAGAGCUAACAGAGUUCAGAGCAACCUUUAG
rnacentral:lncRNA from 1 species